GGUCCGCUGGCUCAAUGGCAGAGCGUCUGACUACGAAUCAGGAGGUUCCAGGUUCGACCCCUGGGGUGGAUCG
rfam:Sordaria macrospora k-hell, WGS project CABT02000000 data, contig: 2.40